GGGGGGGGGGGGGGGGGGGGGGGGGGGGGGGGGGGCGGGGGGGGGCGCGGGGGGGCGGGCGCGGGGGGGGGCGGGGGGCGGACGGGGGAGGAGUACAGCGGCAGCUGCCCAGUCGGGGGGGAUAACGUGGGGAAACUGACGCUAAUACCGCAUACGACCUUCGGGGGACAGCGGGGGAUCGCAAGACCUCUCGCGCGUGGAUGAGCCGAUGUCGGAUUAGCUAGUUGGCGGGGUAAUGGCCCACCAAGGCGACGAUCCGUAGCUGGUCUGAGAGGAUGAUCAGCCACACUGGAACUGAGACACGGUCCAGACUCCUACGGGAGGCAGCAGUGGGGAAUAUUGGACAAUGGGCGCAAGCCUGAUCCAGCCAUACCGCGUGGGUGAAGAAGGCCUUCGGGUUGUAAAGCCCUUUUGUUGGGAAAGAAAUCUUUCAGGCUAAUACCCUGGGAGGAUGACGGUACCCAAAGAAUAAGCACCGGCUAACUUCGUG
rnacentral:rRNA from 1 species